rnacentral:rRNA from 1 species
UGCCGCGUGAGUGAUGAAGGCCUUAGGGUUGUAAAGCUCUUUUACCCGGGAUGAUAAUGACAGUACCGGGAGAAUAAGCCCCGGCUAACUCCGUGCCAGCAGCCGCGGUAAUACGGAGGGGGCUAGCGUUGUUCGGAAUUACUGGGCGUAAAGCGCACGUAGGCGGCGAUUUAAGUCAGAGGUGAAAGCC